AGUUACAAUUCUUUUGGUAAAUAUUAAUAAAAGAAGUACAUUUGCUUGUUAUUAUGGAAUCAAUACGAAAGGAAUAUUAUUGUUGCCUUCCAUAAGUGAAUCAUCACUUUAAAAUGUCGUCGUCAAGUAAAGACAAUUUGAAAGGAACUAUCCAAGAAUUUGCUUUGAGGUUCCAAGAUGACUUGACAGAAGUGGAAGCAGUUGAUGAUAAAUUGAAGCUUCAUGCUCGAACGUUGACAAACUGCUACAAGUUGUUGUGUACGGAACCUGAAGCAGAAUCCGUGUUAACAUUAUGGGCAACUAUGAUAAGGUGGGGACUUGGUUGGUAGGAAUGUUACUUGUGGUUGGGCUUGAAAUGGCUUAGCGUUGCAGAAAUAUGAGAUGCAUAGGCGUAACAUUAGGGGUGCAUGUGGUCAUAGGCGUCAAAACCCGGGGUGCCGGGGUGGCGGCGCCACCCCGGAAGCAGAACGUGGGGUGGCGAAAUACGUAUGGCCACCCCGGUUUUCGUUAGGCAAUGCUUGUAUUUUUUCCAAGUACAGCGUAAAAAACACUAAUAUUAUCAGUAAACGUAAAUCAGAGCACGCGUUCGCAGAGAGCGCGCUCUAGUCUGUUUCUUUUAUAAAAAUGAGAGAACGCUUUAUGAGCAAGCGUUCGCAGGAAGCACUCUUUACGCUCUCGCCUGUUUCUUUUUUAGAAACGAGUGAACGGUUAUGAGCACGCGUUUACAUGGAGCACGCUCUAGCCUGUUUCUUUUCAGAAAACGAGAGAAUACUUUGUGAGCACGAUCUGCUCGCAUUAAAAGAAAGCCACAGGCCACAGCCUAUGCUUUUUACCGUUAAAUAGCAUAUGUAAAAAGACGGAAGCUUAAAGAAGCUGCCGUCUUUCACUUUGCGGAAGCUUUAGCUUCGCUUCUGUGAAAUUCGCCGACUGAAAAUAUAAUUGGUGCAAAUAUUAAAAUAUAUUUUGACUGGUGCAAAAAGACGUUAUCAGUAAAAUUGAAACAACACAAACUUUAAAAUGAUAACCUUACACUAAUGUUUCAUCAGUUUAGAUUAUUUUGUACGUAGGCCCAUUACGUGCCUAUGCGUACUGGCCGCUUAUGCAACCAACCCUUUAAGCUUUGCCUGUUUCUAUUGCCUAUACAAUUAAAAAUGAUUACAUAAUAAUUUUUUAAUACUUACAGUCGGGACAUACUCUUGAGGAAACUUAUUAGUUGUGUAUGAGAUAAGAAGGCAGGUUUUACCAACAGCACCAUCACCAACAACCACACAUUUUAUGGUUUGCAUGCUUAAUUUUCAAACACAACCCAAUGUUCUUAAUCAAAUCCUAACUGCAGAGAAUCUUCU